GGCCGCUUGCCGAAAUUGGUAGACGGAAGGCACUUAAAAUGCCUCGGGCUUCGCCCGUGUGGGUUCGAGUCCCACAGCGGCCACCA
rnacentral:tRNA from 12 species